ensembl:lncRNA
CACUGAUCAAAACCACAUGUUGGAAGACUGAAAUCUGCAAAGUGACCUCUGUCAGAGGUGAACUAAAAACGGCCCGAGGGAAAGGAUGCAGAGACCAGCUCAUCACCACAAAACAACAGCUCAACUAAUGCCAGACCUCAGGAUGCACGUGUAGAGCAUGUGCCAUGUGACCUUGCACAGCUCCAUGCUGACAGCAUCAAAGAUGUUACUGUCCAUAUGAUAUCAGCAGAUGGGUUUUUCAUCGCUACCAUGCCAGACAUCAUUACCCCUUAACAACUCUUAUUAAAAAUGAACUGACCCGUCUACGUGUGUGAAUUCAGGCUGAAUCAGGUUUUAAUAUUUAAGUUUCAGCUGAAUGCAACUGACUGGUAAUUAAACAU